GAUCAACGCUGACAGAAUGCUUAACACAUGCAAGUCGAUGAUGGGAGCUAGCUUGCUAGAAGAAGUCAUGGCGGACGGGUGAGUAAUGUGUAAAGAACUUACCAUAUAGACUGGGAUAACAGAGGGAAACUUCUGAUAAUACUGGAUAAGUUAGUAGUAGCAUUACUAAGUAAUGAAAGGUAGCAAUACGCUAUAUGAGAGCUUUGCAUCCUAUUAGCUAGUUGGUGGGGUAAAAGCCUACCAAGGCGAUGAUAGGUAGCCGGCCUGAGAGGGUGGACAGCCACAAGGGGACUGAGAUACGGCCCUUACUCCUACGGGAGGCAGCAGUGGGGAAUAUUGGACAAUGGAGGCAACUCUGAUCCAGCAAUUCUGUGUGUGUGAAGAAGGUUUUAGGACUGUAAAACACUUUUAGUAGGGAAGAAAGAAAUGACGGUACCUACAGAAGAAGCGACGGCUAAAUACGUG
rnacentral:rRNA from 1 species